rnacentral:rRNA from 1 species
UGGGGGAUAUUGCACAAUGGGCGAAAGCCUGAUGCAGCGACGCCGCGUGGGGGAUGAAGGCUUUCGGGUUGUAAACCUCUUUCGCUAUCGAACAAGGCCCGCUUAGGGUGGGUUGAGGGUAGGUGGAGAAGAAGCGCCGGCUAACUACGUGCCAGCAGCCGCGGUAAUACGUAGGGCGCGAGCGUUGUCCGGAAUUAUUGGGCGUAAAGGGCUUGUAUGCGGCUUGUUGCGCCUGCUGUGAAAACGGGGGGCUUAACUUCGCGCGUGCAGUGGGUACGGGCAGGCAUGAGUGUGGUAGGGGUGACUGGAAUUCCAGGUGUAGCGGUGGAAUGCGCAGAUAUCUGGAGGAACACCGAUGGCGAAGGCAGGUCACUGGGCCAUUACUGACGCUGAGGAGCGAAAGCAUGGGUAGCGAACAGG